GUGCGAGACCGAUAGCGAACAAGUACCGUGAGGGAAAGAUGAAAAGAACUUUGAAAAGAGAGUUAAAGAGUACCUGAAACUGCUGAAAGGGAAGCGAAUCGUAUCCAGUGUCUAUAAUCUGCGGCAUAUUUCAUUGGCGGCGGUGCGCGUGCUUUUGCGUCGGAAGCGGCUUUUGUUGCUCUGUGCUUUUGCUGUGCGUGGUGUUGCUGGUGCCCUGUGUUGCGGUGGGACGUCAGUGUCAGUUUGUAUGCUGCGGGAAAUGGCUGCCGAGGAGGUAGGUCGAGAUUUCGGUCUUGGCUGUUAUAUCUUGGUGGUUUGUUGUCGUGGUUGAGACUGAGGUGCCUACAAUGUGCUUUUGAGUGUACCGGGUUCUCAUUUGGCGGACUGUUUGGAUAGCUUGCUAUGCUUGUGGUUUUUUCAUCGGGUGAUUGAGUCUGGUGGUAACUUGUUGCUGUUCGGGACUUUGAA
rnacentral:rRNA from 1 species